GCCUUCGUGAUGUAGUGGUCUGCACGCUCGGCGCGUAACCGAGAGGUCCGUGGUUCGAUUCCUGGCGAAGGUG
rfam:Stegodyphus mimosarum contig63766, whole genome shotgun sequence.